AGAGUUGAUCCUGGCUUAGGAUGAACGCUGGCGGCGUGCUUAACACAUGCAAGUCGAACGGAGUUAGCAGUGAAGCGGAAGGGCUUGCCCGGAAGUGGAACAGUUAAACUUAGUGGCGGACGGGUGAGUAACGCGUGGGUAACCUACCUCAUACAGGGGGAUAGCAGUUGGAAACGACUGAUAAAACCGCAUAACACGGUAGUAAGGCAUCUUACAGCCGUCAAAUAUUUAUAGGUAUGAGAUGGGCCCGCGUCUGAUUAGCCAGUUGGCGGGGUAACGGCCCACCAAAGCUACGAUCAGUAGCCGGCCUGAGAGGGUGAACGGCCACAUUGGGACUGAGACACGGCCCAAACUCCUACGGGAGGCAGCAGUGGGGAAUAUUGGACAAUGGGGGGAACCCUGAUCCAGCCGACGCCGCGUGAGUGAAGAAGUAUUUCGGUAUGUAAAGCUCUAUCAGCAGGGAAGAUGAUGACGGUACCUGACUAAGAAGCCCCGGCUAACUACGUGCCAGCAGCCGC
rnacentral:rRNA from 1 species